rnacentral:rRNA from 1 species
AUGUCAGAGGAGGCGGCGAGGAGCAGGGUCCUGGUGGUCGGCGCCACCGGCCGCCUCGGGGGAAGCCUCGUGCGCGCGAGCCUCGCCGCCGGCCACCCCACCUUCGCGCUCAUUCGCCCGCACUACUUCGCUCUCCCCGACUCCGCCCCUCUCAAGCCGCUCGCCGCGGCCGGCGCCACCAUCCUCAAGGGGUCGCUGGACGAUUACUGGAGCUUGCUGGAAGCCGUGCGGCAGGUGGACGUGGUCAUCUGCGCGGUGCCCACGAAGCAUGCGCUCGAGCAGAAGCCUCUGAUUCGGGCUAUAAAGGAAGCUGGGUGCGUGAAGAGAUUUAUUCCGGCGGAAUUUGGAGUUGAUCACACAAAGGUGCAGAUUUGUGACAUGGACCAUGGCUUCUAUGAGAAGAAAGCUGAAAUCCGCCGUUUAAUAGAGAGCGAGGAUAUUCCUCACACGUACAUCUACUGCAACUUCCUGAUGCGCUAUUUGCUUCCUUCGCUAGUGCAGCCGGGUUUAGAUGCCCCUCCAAGAGAUGAAGUUACGAUAUUUGGUGGAGGAGAUACUAAAGGUAUCUUCGUUGAAGAGGGCGAUGUGGCUAAAUUUACGGUGUGUACCAUAGAGGACCCCAGAACAUUAAACAUGACAUUGUAUCUGAGACCUCUGGGAAAUAUCUACUCACUGAAUGAAUUGGUUAGCCUCUGGGAGACAAAAAUCAACAAAUGCCUAAAAAAGAUACAUAUAACUGAAGAGCAACUCCUUAAAAACAUUCAGAAUGCACCGUUUCCUCUGAAAAUGGAUUUGAUAUUUAUAUAUUCAGCUUUUGUUAAGGGUGAUCACACGUAUUUUGAAAUUGACUCAAGAAGUGAAGGAACUCAACUGUAUCCUGAUGUAAAGUAUACCACAGUUAGCGAGUACUUGGAUACACUAGUUUAG